CUGUGGUUAUUCAAUGUGAGAAUUUUUUGUUUGUAUUUUUUUCAAUUGUUGUUAAUUUAGUUAAUUUUUUCGUUUAUUUAGGCAAAGUCUUUUAAACGACUUUUUGAAACUUUAAUUGAACAUCAGAUGCCUCCAAAGAAAGGUGCGGCUUCAACCAGUAAAUCGUCUGGUAAAGGUGACUCUAAAGAUUCUGGCAAAAAAGAGACUAAAGAAAAGACCGGCUCUGGAAAUUCUGUUAAAGUUCGUCAUAUACUUUGUGAGAAACAAUCAAAAGCUUUGGAAGCCAUUGAGAAGUUAAAGAGUGGCGUUAGUUUUUCUGAAGUUGCUAGGUUAUUCAGUGAAGAUAAAGCUCGUAAUGGUGGUGAUUUAGGAUGGAUGACCAGAGGAUCUAUGGUUGGACCUUUUCAAGAUGCUGCAUUUGCUUUAGCCACAUCAACACCCAACAAUCCAAUUUACACCGAUCCUCCAGUUAAGACAAAAUUUGGAUAUCAUGUAAUUAUGGUUGAAGGCAAAAAAUAGUGACAUUUCAACUUCUCAAAUCGACCUUGUAUUCCUCUCAUUGUCAUAAGCAUUGAAAAUUUUUUGAUAUCAACCUUACACAUAUUUGCAUGUACUAAGUACAACAUUAAUACUUUAUAAAAAAAGGCUAGGUAAUAAAGCCAUUAUUUAAAACUUUCA